GAUGAACGCUGACAGAAUGCUUAACACAUGCAAGUCGACUCGAGUCUUCGGACUUGGGUGGCGCACGGGUGAGUAACGCGUGGGAAACCUGCCUUUCAGUGGAGGACAACAGUUGGAAACGACUGCUAAUACCGCAUAACGUAUUUUUGGGGCAUCCCUUAAAUACCAAAGCUUUAUGUGCUGAAAGAUGGUCUCGCGUCUGAUUAGCUAGAUGGCGGGGUAACGGCCCACCAUGGCGACGAUCAGUAGCCGGUCUGAGAGGAUGAACGGCCACAUUGGGACUGAGAUACGGCCCAG
rnacentral:rRNA from 1 species